rnacentral:rRNA from 1 species
UAGUCCACGCCCUAAACGAUGUUAACUCGAUGAAUGGAGCUCGACUCUGUUCAUCCAAGGGAAACCGUUAAGUUAACCACCUGGGGAGUACGUUCGCAAGUAAUGAAACUCAAAGGAAUUGACGGGGGCUCACACAAGCGGUGGAGGAUGUGGCUUAAUUCGAGGCUACGCGAAGAACCUUACCUAGGCUUAACAUGUUUGGGAACGUCUGUGAAAGCAGAAAGUGCCUUUCGGGGAACCCUUACGUAGGUGCUGCAUGGCUGUCGUCAGCUCGUGUCGUGAGAUGUCGGGUUAAGUCCCUUAACGAGCGAAACCCGUUGUCAUUAGUUGCCAGCGAUUCGGUCGGGGACUCUAAUGAGACUGCCGGUGCAAACCGCGAGGAAGGUGGGGAUGACGUCAAAUCAUCACGGCCCUUACGUCCUGGGCUACACACGUGCUACAAUGGUAGGUACAGAGAGCAGCCACUUGGCAACAAGGAGCGAAUCUAUAAAACCUAUCACAGUUCGAAUCGGAGUCUACAACUCGACUCCGU